AUUGAACGCUGGCGGCAGGCCUAACACAUGCAAGUCGAACGGUAACAGGAAGCAGCUUGCUGCUUCGCUGACGAGUGGCGGACGGGUGAGUAAUGUCUGGGAAGCUGCCUGAUGGAGGGGGAUAACUACUGGAAACGGUAGCUAAUACCGCAUAAUGUCGCAAGACCAAAGAGGGGGACCUUCGGGCCUCUUGCCAUCGGAUGUGCCCAGAUGGGAUUAGCUGGUUGGUGGGGUAACGGCUCACCAAGGCGACGAUCCCUAGCUGGUCUGAGAGGAUGACCAGCCACACGGGGACUGAGACACGGUCCAGACUCCUACGGGAGGCAGCAGUGGGGAAUAUUGCACAAUGGGCGCAAGCCUGAUGCAGCCAUGCCGCGUGUAUGAAGAAGGCCUUCGGGUUGUAAAGUACUUUCAGCGGGGAGGAAGGGAGUAAAGUUAAUACCUUUGCUCAUUGACGUUACCCGCAGAAGAAGCACCGGCUAACUCCGU
rnacentral:rRNA from 1 species